GAGCAGAAGAGGGACCGGAGCAGAGGAUGCUGAGCCGAAGGCGGGGAUGGCGACUGCCGCACCGAGGAGGGCAGGGUGCAGGCGGGACCGGCAGAGGGAAGGCGCGCUUGCGGCUGCAGGCUCGACCACCGGGGAGUCGCGCCGAGCUCUGUCCUUGGUGGAGGGCUGGAGAAGGCGGCCGGGAGGGCGAGGACCACCUGCCUCGCUAAGUUCUGACCGCGGAAGUCUCUACCGUCUGCGCCGCAACGCCGUGGGCACCCGCGGUCGCCCGAUGAGUCUUCCAAGCUCUGCGUCUCCGACUCUGUUGUGCCCUCACCCCCGGUGGAGAUCCGUGCCCGAGGUCAAGGCCGGGAGCCGGGGGUAGGGGUGGGGUGUGUGUGUGUGGAGCAGAAGACUCCUCGGCGACAACGGAUUGCCCCAACAGCCUGAAUCCUUUAUUCCCCUCUGACCCUGCUACAGAGCGUUUUCUUCCGAAGCAACCCAAAUGGUCUUUAAAACAGGGAGAUGGGGUCGCAAUUACUCAGCUCAGAA